rnacentral:rRNA from 2 species
UACGUAGGGUGCGAGCGUUAAUCGGAAUUACUGGGCGUAAAGCGUGCGCAGGCGGUUCGUCAUGUCUGAUGUGAAAGCCCCGGGCUCAACCUGGGAAUGGCAUUGGAAACUAGCGGGCUGGAGUGUGGCAGAGGGGGGUGGAAUUCCACGUGUAGCAGUGAAAUGCGUAGAGAUGUGGAGGAACACCGAUGGCGAAGGCAGCCCCCUGGGCUAACACUGACGCUCAUGCACGAAAGCGUGGGGAGCAAACAGG